rnacentral:rRNA from 1 species
UACAGAGGUCUCAAGCGUUGUUCGGAUUCAUUGGGCGUAAAGGGUGCGUAGGCGGCGCGGUAAGUCGGGUGUGAAAUCUUGGAGCUUAACUCCGAAACUGCAUUCGAUACUGCCGUGCUUGAGGACUGGAGAGGAGACUGGAAUUUACGGUGUAGCGGUGAAAUGCGUAGAUAUCUGGAGGAACACCGGUGGCGAAGGCGGCAUCCUGGACCGACACUGACGCUGAGGAGCGAAAGCCAGGGGAGCCAAAGCGGGG